CUAUACCACUGGACUUUAAGCUAGUUGAGGGCAGAGGCUCUAUUUUGCUCAUUUGUCUCCCCUUUCUGCCUGGGAGUACCAGCAGACCAGUCAUGUUUUAAGUGUGGUCUGUGUACUGGUGCCAGACGGUGAACUUUGCCACCAGUUUUUGAUGGGAUAAAUACAAACAGAUAAGUCCAGUCUCCUCAGCACAGCUUACAUUAGUGACCUUCAAUAUUAGCUCCUGCUUUCCAUUCUUGCCCUCUGAUGACCUCCAGCUCUUCUGAACUACCUGCAAUAUUCUGAGUAAAGUAUGCUGCUUCAUACUCCAUGCCUUUGAACACGUUGCUUCCUCCGCCUUCCUACCUCAUCUACUUGGUACACUUGCGUUCAUCCUUCAAGACUUGGUGUGAACCCCAUCUCCUACAUCAUGCUUUCAACUGCCCUCUUCAAGAUUUAAAAGGUCUUUUCUUUGUGAUCUCACAGCACCUUCUACAGAUCUCCAUUAAUACACCAGAUAGCAAUUCUUGGUUAAAAUGUCUGGUUUUCUCAUCGAACUGUGAGUUACUUAAGUGCAAAAAUCAUGUCUGGAUCAUCUCUAUUUCCUUGGUACCUAGGGCAGGGCUUGUGGCAGCAGAGAUGCUCAGUAAGUGUUUGUGGGCAGGGUUUGUGGCAGCAGAGAUGCUCAGUAAGUAUCUGGUAAGUGAAAGAAUGCUGGAGCUGGAAGGGGUCCUUGGGAUCUGCUAUCCUAACUUCUUUAUUUUACUGAGGAGGAGAGAGGAUAUGCCUAAAGGUGAAAGGAUUUGUUGGUGGCAGAGCCAGAACAUCUGAUCCUUCACCCAGUGCUCAUUCCCCUUCUCUGUAUUGCUGGCAGGAAUCAGAGUGUGGAGCUUCAACAGAGGACAGACAGCCUGAGGCAGAGCUGAUUCCCUCCGCAUCAGGCAGUGCCGCCAGAUGGACAGACGGUGAAGUGUAACAAGAAGCGAACUCGAAGUUUUGGGUCCUGACAACAAGCCAAGAGGCUGUUAAAGGAGAUGGCACCACUGGAAAGGAUCUUUGCCUCAGGCAGGGAUGGUGGGGAAUUUAAGAACUCAUUUGAUGAUGGCUGGUUAACACUGAUAACUCAGCGCAGACUUGGAGAUGGGGCAAGGAGGAUUCACUAAAGUAGGUGGGAAGGAGGCUGAGAGAGGCCCCAGGGAAAGUAUUAAGUUUCGUUAAAGUCCAAGUGUUUCUGAAGUGAGAGCACCAGUGACUGAAAAGGAAGUGGCAUUAUGACUAUAAGGAGAAGGAAGGUAGCCAGGCAGAGGUGGCUCAUAAGUGAAGCUCUAAAAAGUCAGACACAUUAGGAAAUUAAGAGUCGGGGCAGGGAUCGGCAAAGAGUAGACCAAAAAGUAAAGACACCACAUCUCCCAAAAGAAAACCUACAGUGGUUUUGGAGAUUUAUCAGUGCAUCCAAUUCAAAAACAUACUAAAUCAUGUGCAGAGCAUUGCAGCAAAGGAGAUGGAGACAAAAAAAGACACAGGCCUGGCCUUCAUCCACCUUGGUCUAGUAAGUGAGACUGGACCCAAAUCCAGAGAAUAGGAAAGACUUCAGAAGGAAGGUGGCAUGAGGCUAGCGACUGACUGGUAAGAAGAACUCCAUCAGCAUGAGAAAUGGUCUUAAAGGGAAAAGAGAGGCCGAACAAACUGCGAGAAUAAAGGCACCAAGGUGGGAACACAGUGUAGCUGGAGUAUUAGGGCUACAGUAGGGGGAAAAGGAAAAGGUAGGUGAGGGUCAGACUAGAGCAACUCUAAAACCAGUUAAAAGCAUUCGUAUGGUUAGGAUUUUUUUUUUUUUAAACGAGUGAGCACUGAGUGUUUCUGAAGUUAAUAAUAACAGAGACUAUAUAUAAAGUACCUACUCUGUAGAAGUACAUAUGUCCUAAUCCUUACAAAUCCUUAGGAGGUAGGUGGCACCACCCCCAUUUCCAGAUGAGGAGAAAGAACUUCAGAACAGUCAGUAAUUUGCCCUGGAUCACAUAGCUAUUAAAUGGCAGGGCUGGUACCAAGAUCCUGACUCCAAUAUUCAUGCUCUUCCCUUGCAACCUCUCUUAGCUGGGGGUUCUCCUUUGAAGCACAUACAAAAAAAAAUUGACUAGUGAUUUUCUCAAUGCUUCCAAAGCUGUAUAUAUAUAUAUAGCUAGUACCAUUUUAGAUUCCUGGGAGAGAAGUUAAUUCCUGUGUACAAUGGAUGCCUUGGAGAAUGAGGGCUCAAUUCUCUGGAGGAACCUUGGUCAAGAAAAACUGCCAUGAUUAGAGAUAUGUUUUAGGAAGAUGGAUCUGUCAGUAGGAUCACAUCCCUGAAAGGACCUGGUUGCCAAAGCAACUUAACAGUCCUGGAAAUAUCAAGAUGAGUCAUCUUCAGGCACUUGAAGUAUGAGGCUCUAGCCACCUUCCCUGAUCACUCCUCUUUCUAGUCCUACUGGCUCUUCCCCACCUUCCUCCCUCCCUCCCACCACACCUGCAUUCAAGUGCUGAAGCAGAGCCUUCCUGCUGAUAAGCCAUCAACACAGGCAAAAGCAGCAUCUUCCAAGGUAUAACAGGAGAAUAUACCAGAACGCCAGAGGAGAGUUUAGCUCAACUUGGGCAUGAAGAGAGGAUCCCAGAAGAUAGGAGUCUUAAAGGAUGAAGAGAAGUUAUGCAGGCGAAGGCAACCCUAGCUUUGAGUCCCUCUCAGCCGCCGGUGCCAUCUAAUGUCAUGGAAUGUCUAGCAGUGCCCUUGCCUUUAAAGAUGUGAACGUGUUUCCAUGAGAGGGAACCUCUAUGACUAAUAAGACAAAUAAAAGAAUAACCCCUU